AAACUUUUAAGUUAAUAAAAACUGUAAGCCUUCAAAGUUUAUAAUAGCUGUUUUGCUAAAGUUUG
rnacentral:tRNA from 1 species